UGGUUCUGAUUCAUCCACCUCCACAGGAAUGCUUCGGUUCAUUCUAGUGUCUGGAACAAGAGAAAACAUGCUACAACCUCAGGAGUCAGUUUUUCUACUGCUCUGAAACUGGAUAUGCCGUACAACAUGCUCUUCAGCUGGUCAGGAAGCAAAAGUAUUUUCCAAAGGACUGGGCUGCAUGUUACGUAAUCUUCAGCAAGCAUCUGUGGACCCACAGCUGAAUGACGGGGGUCGGGGAGGAGGGCAAGGGGGAGGGUGGAGAAGCUGCCUGAGAACCAGCCAGCAAAAGAACUAAAUGCUGUCGGCUAUUUCUUGGUAUGCGAUUCAUUUUCAUUUUCCACACUUCAGGUACAAUUGUUUAUAUUCUCCCUGGGUUUCAGAUGUGAAUGCCUUAGAAGUACUUCCCUAAAAAUUAUAAAAUUAAAUUUAAAAAGUUGCAAAUUCUCUUCCAGCUGAGGAGAUUUCAAGGACUUGGAGGAAGCUAAUAAAAAGGGUGACAAGUGU